GGGCUGAUGAUCGGUUCCUGGGCUUAAGCGUGUGUAGGCGGGAGCGUAAGCAUUUUGUGAAAUCCCCCGGCUCAACCGGGGCAUUGCUUGAUGUACUGCGUUCCUUGAGGCAAGUAGGGGUGCGAGGAACUCUUGGUGGAGCGGUGGAAUGCGUAGAUAUCAAGAGGAACGCCGAUGGUGAAGACAUCGCACUAGGCUUGUCCUGACGCUGAGACACGAAAGCGUGGGGAGCGAACGGGAUUAGAUACCCCGGUAGUCCACGCCGUAAACGAUGCUUACUAGAUUGUGGCGGUUCUGACGCCGGCACAGUCGAAGCCAAAGUGUUAAGUAAGCCGCCUGGGGAGUACGGUCGCAAGGCUAAAACUCAAAGGAAUUGACGGGGGCUCACACAAGCGGUGGAGCAUGUGGAUUAAUUCGAAGCAACGCGCAGAACCUUACCUGGGUUUGACAUGCUUGGAUGCCUUUCUGGAAACAGAGUAGGCUACCCUUCGGGGUGAAACUUGCACAGGUGCUGCAUGGCUGUCGUCAGCUCGUGUCGUGAGAUGUCGGGUUAAGUCCCUUAACGAGCGAAACCCUUACCGUUAGUUGCCAGCGGGUCAUGCCGGGGACUCUAACGGGACUGCCGGUGUUAAACCGGAGGAAGGUGGGGAUGACGUCAAGUCAUCAUGGCCUUUAUGCCCAGGGCCUCACACGUGCUACAAUGGCCGGUACAAAGCGACGCGAGACCGCAAGGUGGAGCUAAUCGCAAAAAAGCGGCCCCAGUUCGGAUUGUAGGCUGGCAACUCGCCUGCAUGAAGUUGGAAUCGCUAGUAAUCGCGGAUCAGCUAUGCCGCGGUGAAUGUGUUCCUGAGCCUUGUACACACCGCCCGUCAAGUGAUGGGAGUUGGAAGUACCCGAAGUCGGGUUGCUAACCCGCAA
rnacentral:rRNA from 1 species